rnacentral:rRNA from 1 species
GACGAACCGUGCGAACGUUAUUCGGAAUCACUGGGCUUAAAGGGCGCGUAGGCGGGCGGCCAAGUCAGAGGUGAAAGCCCCCAGCUCAACUGGGGAAGCGCCUUUGAUACUGGUCGUCUCGAGGGAGAUAGGGGCGUGCGGAACUUCCGGUGGAGCGGUGAAAUGCGUAGAUAUCGGAAGGAACACCGGUGGCGAAAGCGGCGCGCUGGAUCUCUUCUGACGCUGAGGCGCGAAAGCGUGGGGAGCAAACAGG